UUGCUCCGUAGUUCAGUUGGUAGAACGCCGCACUGUUAAUGCGAGGGUCGCUGGUUCGAGUCCAGCUGGGGCAGUCC
rnacentral:tRNA from 1 species